rnacentral:lncRNA from 1 species
GUUUUAUUGGAGAUCAUGACAAAAUCAAACAGUAACUUGUAUCUUUUACAAGAUUUUAAUUUGUUAUACUCAGUCUAAGACAAUGUAGUUUCGGAGCACAUUUUACAAAGUACGGUUUAUCUGUUUGGAAUGAGAUGUACCAAUCGGCAUUAGAUUUAUCAGUAACCUUCGAUAUCGUAGAAAAUAUGCCACAGCGAUGUGUUCGACAGACUACCAGAGCCAAUCACCCUGCAAAC